rnacentral:tRNA from 1 species
GCGCCCGUAGCUCAGCUGGAUAGAGCAGCGGACUUCUAAUCCGCAGGUCGAAGGUUCGAAUCCUUCCGGGCGUGCCA